rnacentral:piRNA from 1 species
UGGUGAAAAUCUUCAAGCCUCCAUGAGUUGC